UACGGAGGGUGCAAGCGUUAUCCGGAUUCACUGGGCUUAAAGGGUGCGUAGGUUGUUAGGUAAGUCAGUGGUGAAAUACUCCGACUCAAUCGGAGAACUGCCGUUGAUACUAUCUAUCUUGAAUACGGUGGAGGCGGGCAGAAUGCGUCAUGUAGUGGUGAAAUGCUUAGAUAUGACAUAGAACACCAAUUGCGAAGGCAGCUUACUACACAAUAAUUGACGCUGAGGCACGAAAGCGUGGGGAGCAAACAGG
rnacentral:rRNA from 1 species